rnacentral:rRNA from 1 species
CAACCUGAGAGUUUGAUCCUGGCUCAGAGCGAACGCUGGCGGCAGGCCUAACACAUGCAAGUCGAACGAUCCUUCGGGAUAGUGGCGGACGGGUGAGUAACACGUGGGAACGUGCCUUUUGGUUCGGAACAACUCAGGGAAACUUGAGCUAAUACCGAAUGUGCCCUUCGGGGGAAAGAUUUAUCGCCAUUAGAGCGGCCCGCGUCUGAUUAGCUUGUUGGUGAGGUAAAGGCUCACCAAGGCUACGAUCAGUAGCUGGUCUGAGAGGAUGAUCAGCCACAUUGGGACUGAGACACGGCCCAAACUCCUACGGGAGGCAGCAGUGGGGAAUCUUGCGCAAUGGGCGAAAGCCUGACGCAGCCAUGCCGCGUGAAUGAUGAAGGUCUUAGGAUUGUAAAAUUCUUUCACCGGGGACGAUAAUGACGGUACCCGGAGAAGAAGCCCCGGCUAACUUCGUGCCAGCAGC